UGUUUUAGUAGUAUAUUUAUUACACUACCUUUUCGAGGUAGAGAAGGAAGACAUUCUCUAAAAUAA
rnacentral:tRNA from 1 species